GGCGAACGGGUGAGUAACACGUGGGCAAUCUGCCCUUCACUCUGGGACAAGCCCUGGAAACGGGGUCUAAUACCGGAUGACACUCCUGCCCGCAUGGGUGGGGGUUGAAAGCUCCGGCGGUGAAGGAUGAGCCCGCGGCCUAUCAGCUUGUUGGUGAGGUAGAAGCUCACCAAGGCGACGACGGGUAGCCGGCCUGAGAGGGCGACCGGCCACACUGGGACUGAGACACGGCCCAGACUCCUACGGGAGGCAGCAGUGGGGAAUAUUGCACAAUGGGCGAAAGCCUGAUGCAGCGACGCCGCGUGAGGGAUGACGGCCUUCGGGUUGUAAACCUCUUUCAGCAGGGAAGAAGCGAAAGUGACGGUACCUGCAGAAGAAGCGCCGGCUAACUACGUGCCAGCAGCCGCGGUAAUACGUAGGGCGCAAGCGUUGUCCGGAAUUAUUGGGCGUAAAGAGCUCGUAGGCGGUCUGUCACGUCGGAUGUGAA
rnacentral:rRNA from 1 species